GAGGGAUAGCAUAUGGCUAGUGCAUCUUGUUUACACCAAGUAGGAGCCCAGUAUUGGGCUUCCUCAAA
rnacentral:tRNA from 1 species